UCUGCCUUUUGGACGGGGACAAUUGCUGGAAACGGCAGCUAAGACCGGAUAUGCCUUCGGGUGAAAUAUUUAUAGCCAAAAGAGGAGCUCGCGACCGAUUAGCUAGUUGGUGGGGUAAGAGCCUACCAAGGCUGCGAUCUUUAGCCGGUUUGAGAGGACGACCGGGCACACUGGGACUGAGACACGGCCCAGACUCCUACGGGAGGCAGCAGUGGGGAAUUUUCCGCAAUGGGCGAAAGCUUGACGAAGCAAUACCGCGCGAGGGAGGAAGGCUCUCGGGUGGUAAACCUCUUUUCUCAGGGAAGAAGCAAUGACGGUACCUGAGGAAUCAGCAUCGGCUAACUCCGUGCCACCAGCCGCGGUAAUACGGAGGAGGCAAGCUUUAUCGGGAAUGAUUGGGCGUAAAGCGUCCGCUGGUGGCACAUCAAGUCUGCUGUCAAAGACCCCAGCUUAACUGGGAAGAGGCGGUGGAAACUGGUGAGCUAGAGAGCAAUAGGGGUAGAGGGAAUUCCCGGUGUAGCCGGUGAAAUGCGUAGAGAUCGGGAAGAACACCAGUUGCGAAAGCGCUCUACUAGGUUGACUCUGACCCUCACGGGCGAAAAGCAGG
rnacentral:rRNA from 1 species